ACCAGGCCUUCCAGAAGUGUGAAACGCUUUCUUGCAUGAAGCUGACGCCAGAAACAAGUUAAUACCAGCAAUUUCCUGUGGUCAGGAGCAUCCAAUUCCAAUGCUCUCUCCAACAGUUUCCAAGACUUCAAGCCUCUUUUGCAUCACAUGGAGAGGGCAGUGACUGCAGUGCUAUUUUACCUUCUGUCCCAAAGGAUUCAAGUCAGGAAUCAGAUGAUUUGGCUUCUCCAAGGACUGUGUCUGCCUCAAGUUCUACAGAAGGGAAUACUGAGGUUAUGAGAUUUACAAAACUAUUCCCUGCAACAGCAACUGGCAACACACAUCUCUGCUUAUGUGAAAGUCUCUCUGCAAUGCCCAGGCUGUGUCUCUUAGGGUUUAGGUCAUCCCAGUUCACCACUUACUUGUCUGUCAGGUCUGGGCCAUGAAAUAUAGAAGCUGAAGUUAUUGGUGACUGGAAUUCAUUAUUACUCCGACAUACUUAGCUGACAUAUCCAAAAAGGUUGCAUAUGUUUAUGAUCAAUAAGAAAUUCAUGUAACUACAGAGAUGAAGAAGGCAACAAGCAAAUGAUGCAAUCUACUAACCACUGACCAGGGAGGACCGUGCACCUCCACACGUAUUCAGUCUUCAUAGGAGAGUGGUUCCUCUGAAGCCUCUGGUGUUGCCUGCUACUAGAGACAGGGCUCAGUGGAGUAAUUACUUUGCUCAUGACGACAGAUACUCCAAUGACAUCAGUGGAAAUCCUUUUCAUGGUGCUGAAUUACAGCUUGACAGCAGCAAUCUCAUGACACAUUUCUUCUGAUUCCGCACCUGCAUCGUGACAACUGUAUUGCUUGGUUACAUGAAAACAAUAUCACUGCCUAAGGGGAAGACAAAAUGACAAUAAAUUUAUUUUUAUGA